rnacentral:pre_miRNA from 1 species
GUAAUACUCCCUUCGUCUUAAAAUUUUUGUCUUAGAUUUGUUUAGAUAUGAAUGUAUCUAGUCACGUUUUAGUAUUUUGAUACAGUCAUUUCUAGAGAAACCUAAGACAAGAAUUUUGAGAUGGAGGAAAUACAAC